rnacentral:lncRNA from 1 species
CCCAACCUGACUGCUGUGUUCUGCCCUGAGUCUGCAGAGGCUGACCCUGGCCAGGAAAGUGGUUGGAAAAGCAUUUUUGCAGAGAGGCAGCCUGAAGGUGGUGGCUCUAUGUAAGUGUGCACCCUUGGUUGGAAAGGCUGAAGGUCAGGAAUGGUAUUAGGAGAAAGUUCCCCCUUUCUCCUUUGUCCCUCCUUCCUGCCCCUGGACACAGGCUUGAGGAUCUGCAUCUGGCUGGCUCACCCUUCCUGCACAACUUUUCUAUUCAAGUUUUUCAGGGCAGGGCUUUAAGAAACACUUCAGGUUAAUUAUAGCCAGGGGUCAUUUUCUAUACAAGCGGGACAAACUUGAUGUGACUACAGGGCUGUCUCCAGGGCUGAUUCAUUCGACCUAGAAAACUGCCCCUAGGGAAACAGCCUCAGAAUCUUGCCUGCAGCUCUGGAAGUGGUAAUGGGCCCACCUGUCUCCCUGCCCAUCAUCUCACAUCUGGGGGAAUGUCUUGGCUAGCAGCAUGGCCCUGAGUGAGGGGUUUAGGUAAACAAGGUGUGACUGGGAUUGGAAGAGUCACAAACCUGUUUGUUAGAGCAAUGCUGAAGAGUUUCAGGAAAAGAAUUUCAUCAAGGCUGGCACAUCUGUCCUCAGACACUUGAAGGAUUCCCUGGAGGAAGGAGGACUGAACUUGCCCUACAAGAUCCUGCGGGGCAAAGAACUGUAAGCAGAGACAAAAUGAAAGCCCUCUAGGCCCACAAUUGAUUCUAACGGCUGUGAGGGAAUGAGCUUCAACUACUGUUGAUGGGAGGGACUGUGUGCCAGGCACUGUGCUAGGGACUCUCAUGCAUGAUCUCAUUCAUCUUCUGCAUAACCCAAUGAGGUAUGAUCUACUAUCAAGUGUCUACAUUUGUAUUGGAUUGGUAUGUGUGCCCAACAAAGAAAGUGUCAUUUUUCCUUGGGAAUGAAAUCACAUCAUUUGUGAAGACUUAGUAGAGGCUAAAUGAGUACAAGCAGCAUUUACCUUAUUAAACAGAUAUUUUCAACAUUUAAAACAGUCUGACCAUCAAUGAUGAUGUUCAAAAACAUCUCAAGAUGUUUUAGAGCUAAAGCAAAUGAGAAAAUAUAGUAAAGGGCUGAUUCCUGUGGAUAUUCUGCAAAGGAAAGUAACAUGGUGGAGUGGAAGUGGGAUAAGGUUUGAAGCCAAAAGACCUGGUGGGCUUAAGGUCUCCAUUUAUUGGUUGUGUGACCUUGGAUAAGCCACUUCACCUCCUGGUGAGACUUGGGCAAAAUGGAGAUCAUAUUAAUCACCUCACAGUUUGUUACGCAUUGAGUAAAUGCACAUGUAAGCAUUAUUGACUGUAAAUGAUUAUGCAUAUUUUAAUUAUGGUAUAUCCAAGCCUGAUUUUUCAUCCAGUGCUUACAGUGCCCUGGGCAUAAUACUCAUUCAAUAAACAUUUGUUUGAUGAUAGAGUAAUAAAUGAAUAUGUGAUGCAGAAGUUUUAAAAAUAUUUUUGCUGCUGUCUGACUCAUUUAUAGACAUUUAUAAAAUUGAGGAUUUGUAAGUUGUCCCUGGACAAUCAGAUCUCUUGAUUCAAAGGUGAAAGAUAAUCAUUCAGGUUUUCAAGUUUUUCCUGAUAUGAGACAUUAACUGGCAGGGCUGAUUAUGAGAAAUUGUCAUUAUCCUGCUCAAAUAUAAGAUCAUAGAUUUGGGAAACCUUAGAAAUAAUUACCUUCUUUUCAAAUAUGAGGAAACUGAAGCCCAGAGGCUCUAAGAAAUCAGGGACUUUAUAUAAUUUUUUCAUUUCUCUAGCUCUAGGGUAAUUGUAGAUAGAUAUACAACAAGUAUGUUUUUAAAAGUAUAUUUUUCAAGAAUUAUGCUAAGCACUGGGGAAAUAAACAUUAACAAGACAAAACCCUCCCCUUUGAGGAACUGAUAAUCUAGACAGACAUGAAAACCAGGAAGUGUGCUAUCAGUUAUAUUAAUGUUGUACAGAGUUCUAGUGGCAAGAGGGAACUGCCAAGGGAAAUCUGAGAGGAGGUGUUUACCCUGCGUAAACACCUUGCUGUUUAGCUUGGCAUCCCUAGAAGCAGACCCUGAGGACAGUGGGAAAAUGGAUUAUUAAGGAAGUGCUCCUGAGAGAAACCAGAAAGGGGGUGUAGGGAGCAAGGGAGGAUAAGGAGAAGACUCCAGUAAGGAUGAGAUUACUCAAGUCCCAUGGAAGACAGGUUAGCCUGAUCCUGCAGGGGAGCCCUGGAGGCACAUGCCUGAAAGGCAGUCUUGGAGCAGCUGCCUCAUGUUGGAGGAAAAACACUGAAGUGGGAUGAGAAGAUGUGAGUUCCGGUCCCAGAUCUGAUUUGUUUGGCACAUAAGUUUGGGGGGACCUCACAAGAUUCUUGCAACAGGGCAGUGAUUCUUUAGCAAUGUCUUUGUAUGCCUGGACUCAGAGCCACCCAGAGGAGCCACAGGAGGGUCCCUCACCCUCUGCGCCCACGAGACUCUGCUACCAGUGCCCUCUUCCACCCAAAGCACUAAGUCAAUGAAGACAGUCUCUGUUCUCAGGCACAUAUCUGCCCUCCAUGAGGCUGAAUAGAGCCCAUUCUCCCUCUUCCAUACCUUUCAUCUCAAAGGAUUCCUGAGCACACAAUCCACUUUAUAGCCUGGUCCUCUACCAUUAGAUAAUAAAGGGUCUUUCACUGAUCUGUGCUGUUGAAAUGCCACCACCUCCACUAUGCAGCUGCUCUGGGCUGUACAGAAAGCAUCUCUCAAUCCUAGGUCAUUUAGAAUGUCAUAGCCUGAGGAGAAUUCAGAAGGACAUCGAGGUCUACAAGUUAUAGAAAAAGUGUGGACUUUUGCAAAAUGCACACACAAACCAAAACCAACUUUCCAACCAAUCCUCAGAAAACCAGACUGAAUCCAUUAAAAUGAUGUUGGUUUGUUUCGCAACGAAGAACCAGCUUUGACCCUGUCCAUUUUUUGUCCUACUCAAAGUGGUCUCUUUACCAUAAACAAAUAGGCCUCUUAAAGUGACAGUUGUAUAAAUAAAACUUGAGAGUGGUAGGAUAAACUUUACGUGGUCCUGUUGCCAAAUAACUAUGGAUAUUAGUAUGUUUUGCCUAAUUCAGAUCAAUGAAGGCCUCGCUAUGUGCGAGCUGGCUAGCAGCUGGGAGGCAAACAUGAGUUGUAGUUUCUGACCUCAGUGUCUGGUGGCACUACUGGGUGUGGAGACGCUGUACAAACACAUUUGUAUGUUCACAUUUCCUAUGUAAAAGAAAAGGGCUUGGGGUAGUGUCAGACCCCUGACUCUUCUUCUUCAUAACAGACAGGGCUCUCUACAGAGCACCCUUCUAGAGCAGCUUUAGCAACCAAGGGACAGACACCUCAGUCUGUUUUAAGUUUUCUCCUUCCUAUUGAAAGGAAGUCCAGAACAAAUUCAGGGAGGUUUUCAAUAAUUACUCAUCAACAAUCUCAUAGUCACAAUACUAAAAAAGACUGCUGACAUUUUGGUUUAUUUUCUAGUACUAGCUACAUCUGCACAUAACUUUUAUUAAGUUUUCUUUAAAAGGAUGAUUCAAAUUUUUGGUCGGUGUGGUUUAAAUUUUAUUUUUUUUAACUGCUCAAAUACAUGACCCAUAACAGAGGAAAUUUGAAGAGUGACUGUUCCACUGAUCUACCUAGGUGGGUCUAAUAUAAUUCUUAGAAUUCCUCACCACUUCACCUUUUUCAAGUUCGCUGUUUUUUUGUGGGUUUUAGCCCUCUUUAAGUCAAUAUGACUGUUUUACAGAAUCCUUUAGGAUCAUAAUGGGGAAAAGAGGAGAAAAAUUGUGGUGGCUUAAAAUGUAUUCACAUUUGUAGUUUCAGAUAACUAUAUAAAAGUCAAUCAUCAAUAAUUUGUUAAACACCAAUUUGUGCCGGAGUCGCUCUGGAAACUUGCCAGAAACAUGGGGACUUAACAUCUCUGGAAAGCCAGAAAUCAGAGAUACAGAGAAGUAUUGAAAUGCUGAAAUGCUAUGAAUUUACUAUAAGAGAACAUUCUUCACUGAAGAGAUCUCUAGCUGCCAAAACACCCUUUCAUGCGUGAAAUACCGGGGCAAAGAGGAAGGAAAAGAGAAGAGUAUGACUCUAGGAACCAUGUUGCAGAAAUGCCAAAGGGUGGGACAAACAAAUAUAUUUAUAACAUAAAUGAGAACCAAGAAGACAAACAAACCAAAUCUCUGGGGAACAGAAGCCACUCUACAAAGUCUUCACAACGGAGCUAAUAUUUGAUUUGCAUUUUGGAGGAGAAAUAGAAAUUUGCUCAAUGGACUGAAGUGUGGGCAGGAGAAAAAGGGAAUCCUUGGCAGAAACACCGUAACAUGGAAUGGUGAAAAACAAAACAAAAUACAAUGAGAUUAAGGAACUGCAGAAAUACUUCUAAACCUGGAACAUAGGGUAUAAAAAAGGAAGACUCAAGAUAUGGUUCCAAGUUCCUUAGACCGUGGCUAUAUCAUGAAGAGCCUUAGAUGGCAAAGUAAAAAGUUUGAAUUUUGUAUUUUAUGAUCCUUAAAGUGCCUAGGAAAAUAUUAACACAUAUGAGCUAUCCAUAUAAUCGUUCUUGAACUGAAAUUACAAGUAUAUAGAGUAUGUGUCAGGAGGCUCUGAACUGGUGCCUGUAACUUUAUGAUGAGCUUACUGUUUUAGCUGCUGGAACAUUUUAGCACCUUUCUUGACCUAUUAUUACAUAAGUUUUUGUUGCCUUUCAACUUUUCGGAGAACAAUUCUGCCAUUUCUUUUUGAGUUUGAGCAUUUUCCUACCUGCACAAAGGGAAGAUGAGGUAUGGGCUGUAAUGACUUUGGAAGAUCCAAAUAGCUAUCAUCUUGGCUGGAGAGAGGGUGACUUCCAAGCAAGGGCCUGUGCUCUGGCCUCACUCUCUGCGGCUCUGCAACAUGAGCCUCAGCAUCCCCUGUGCUACUCACUAGAAAGUGGACCUGACAGCUUUGGCAGAGUUACUAAUGUGGAGAAAGAAGAUUAUCAUGUGUGGAACGAAGGACAAUAUGAACAUUAAAUAAUGCCCUGACUCAUUCCAAAAAGAAUCUGAGAUGACCAAUAAAGCCAUUUUUAAUUGUUUAUUAGUGAACAAUAGAUUAUGAGUGCUAAAGGGAUUCAGGAAGAAGAAAGAUCAGUGCAGAGUAGAGAAGUCUGAUGGAUGCAUUGAAGAAGCUAUGCUUGAGCUGAAAUGACAAGAGAGCUGUUUUUCGCUUUCAGAAUUAUUAUGUGGCAAUGGUAAUUGACAACAGAGAAGCUGAAGGUAUGAGGACAAGGGUGUCUUAUCUUUCCCCAGAAGUCUUGCUUGGCCCAUGGGAGAAUACAGGCCUGCACCUUGGACUUGGAGUCAGUAGAUUCCUUCCUGUGAUUUUUUACAAGCUCAAACAUCCCCUGACUGAGUCAUUCACCAGAGAAAGAGGCUUUUCAAAUGAUUUGUGCAUUAGCUAUAGUCUGCCUUAUUCAACCCCAUUUUAGUGUCACAAAAGCUUCUUCUUCCUACAUUGUUAGAGCCUUUUUGACUUUUCUGAAACGACAUCUGCUCACCUCUUGGGUAACACCCUGCAGGGCUCAGUCGAGCUCAGUCACCCUUCACUUUUUUUUUUUUUUUUUUGAGCCAGUUUUGUAAGGUGCUGAGGGAGGUUUGUAUUAGUCCUUGUUGCCCCUAGAAGAAAUAACAGCUAUAAUUUUGGCCCCGAAGAAAAGGAACAGGUAUGACUAUUCUCUCUCUUUCUCUCAAACCACAAUCUACUCUAGGGAGGAAGUCACUUUAUGGGAGCAGAGUCACUCUCAAGUAAUAGCUGGCCAUACAGAUUGCUCUGGACCAAGGGUGAAUGUGAAGAAGAAAAGACCGGCCAGCAACACAAUGGAAUAUCUAGAGUCAUAUUGAGGGAAAUACUUAGAUUGCUGAUUUCUUAGUGGAUUUCACAAGCAGAGCUGCUUGUGAGCAGAAUGGUGAAGUAGGGGCAUGUGUUUCUGGGGUCUUAUUCCAUGGCUUCCUUCCACCUACAAGAGUCAUCCUCACGGAGUACUUGCAUUUCAGUAGAAGAAAAAAAUCUUAUAGAUGGAAGGGAAGGAUGGGGUUCCUGCUUUAGGAAGAUUGGCAUGGUCAUAAGUCUGAGCAAGGAAGGGCCCAGGGCAGCUCAGAGCUCUGAGCAGGAAGCUCUAAUUAGUUACUGAAUAUGGUGCAAGCACAAAGAGAGCGUAGUGUUUUCCCUUUCCAUCUGUGGAAGUCUUGGCCAUGCUUACUUGGGCGUUCCUUCCAGGAAACAUUUAUUUUUCCUCUUUAAUGCCCUCCUCAUAUCUAUGCUCUCAGUAGAGGAUGCCACUGCUUCUGGCACCUGGAUAAUAGAAUGAAGCUGAUUGGGAUGGAAACAGAAAAGUCAUCUCUCAGAACAAUGAGCAGAGACUGAAACUCCCUUGUACCCAGUCCCUGUGCACUGCUGUUCAUAGCCAAAUGGGCAAGGCCUUGCCAAAUGUCAUGUUGAGGUGAGGCCCUAAGUGAUAGAAAAAUAAAAAAUGACUAUGGCCACUUGCAUGUUCAGAGAAUUCAGUUUAGAAAAUGCUAUGCUGGGAGGAUCUCUCUUAAUAUCUUGUUUGCAUCAGAAUGUUCAAGUUGCAAUAUAUGUUUUUGUUUUGUGUAUUUAUUUAUUUUCCUCUACUCUAUUCUGUUAAGUCUUUUAGGGCAAAGGUAGGGUAGUCUAUACUCCCUGCGUUAUCCAUAAUGCCUAGCACUGUGUCUUGUACAUAAAAGGUCAUAAUAAAUACCUGUUGGCUAGAUAGAUGAAUGGAUAGAGUGCCUCAUUUAGAAGCAUUAUACUUCUAUGGAAAAAAAUUUUUAAAUGUAUUUUUUUCUAUGAGAUAACACAGUUCCUGAAUAGGUCAUGGGCAGGUGCUAUUCAAGUUUGCGAAGGAAAGGUUUUCCUAGAGUUAGGGUAAUUUUUUCCUCAAAUAAGAAAAACCUACAGUAAAUAAUUACUCUCCAUAUUAUCUUUAGGUUUCUUGCCAGUAUUAACAUCUUUUUUAUUGUAAGUGAUGAUAUUGUCUGUGAGAACAUUACAGUAGGUUAGUAUCCUGGGUUAAGCUAAGUGUUGUUGAAAAUAAUCCUGGACAUCCAAACAGGAAGAGAGGAAGUCAAACUAUUCCUGUUUGCAAAUAACAUGAUUCUAUAUCUAGAAAACCCUGUAAUGUCAGCCCCAAGGCUCUGUGAGAUCAGAGAUAAAUAACCUCAGCAAAGUCAACAUACAAACAUCAGUAGCAUUCCUUAUACAAACAACAUCCAAGCUGAUGGCCAAAUCAGGAUGCAAUCCCAUUCACAAUUGCCCCCCCAAAAAUAUAAAAUACUUAGGAAUACAGCUAACCAGGGAUGUGAAAGAUCUCUAUAAUAAGAAUUACAAAACACUGCUCAAAAAAUCAUAGAUGACACCAAAAAUUGGAAAAAUAAUCCAUGCUCAUGGAUUGGAUGAAUCAAUAUCAUUAAAAUGGCCAUACUGCCCAAAGCAAUUUACAGAUUUCACAGAUUCAGUGCUAUUCCUAUCAAAAUAUCAAUGACAUUUUUCGUGGAAUUAGAAAAAACUAUUUUAAAAUUGACAUGGAACCCAAAAGGGACCCCGAAUAGUCGAGGCAAUCCUAAACAAAAAGAACAAAGCUGGAGGUAUUAUAUUACCCAAUGUCAACAUAUACUACAGGGCUAUAGUAACCAAAAGAGCAUGGUACUGGUACAAAAACAGACACAUAGACCAAUAGAACGUAAUAAAGAGCCCAGAAAUAAUGUCACACCACUUACAACCAUCUGAUCUUCAAUAAAGCUGACAAAAACAAACAAUAGGGAAAAGAUUCCUCAUUCAAUAAAUGGUGCUGGGAUAACUGGCUAGUCAUAUGCAGAAGAUUGAAACUGGACACCCCACCUUACACUACAUACAAAAAUCAGUGUAAGAUGAAUUAAAGGCUUAAAUGUAAAACCUAAAACUAUAAAAACCCUGAAAGAUAACCUAGGAAAUACCAUUCUGGACAUAGAACUUGGCAAAGAUUUCAUGAUGAAGACAACAAAAGCAAUUGCAACAAAAACAAAAAUUGACAAAUGGGAUCUAAUUAAACUGAAGAGCUUCUGAACAAAAAAAGAAACUAUCAACAGAGUAAACAGACAACCUACAGAAUGGGAGAAGAUAUCUGCAAACUAUGCAUCCAACAAAGGUCUAAUAUCCAGAUGCUGUAAGGAACUUAAAUUUAUAAGCAUAAACAAACAACCCCAUUAAAAAGUGGGCAAAGGACAUGAAGAGAUACUUUUCAAAAGAAGACAUAUAUGUGGCCAACAAGCAUAUAAAAAAUGCUCAACAUCACUAAUCAUUAGAGAAAUGCAAAUUAAAACCACAGUGAAAUACCAUCCCACACCAGUCAGAAUGGCUAUUAUUAAAAGUUGAAAAAUAAUAGGUGCUAGCAAUGUUGUGGAGAAAAGGGAACACUUAUACACCACUGAUGGGAAUGUAAAUUAGUUCAGCCACUGUAGAAAGCAGUUGGGUGAUUCCUCAAAGAACUUAAAAAAACAGAGUUACCAUCCAACCUAGCAACCCCAUUAUUGGGUAUAAUCCAAAGGAAUAUAAAUUGUUCUAUCAUAAAGACACAUGCACAUGUAUAUUCAUUGCAGCACUAUUCGCAAUAAGAAAGAUAUGGCAUCACCCUAAAUGCCCAUCAGUGGUAGACUGGAUAAAGAAAAUGUGGUGCAUAUACACCAUGGAAUACUAUGCAGCCAUAAAAAACAAUGAGAUCAUGUCCUGUGAAGCAACAUGGAUGGAUCUGGAAGCCAUUAUCCUAAGCAAACUAACACAAGAACAGAAAACCAAAUAUGGCAUGUUCUUACAAGUGGAAGCUAAACAAUAGGAACACAUGGAUAUUAGAAGGGUAACAGAAGAUAUUGGGGCCUACUUGAGGGUGGAAAGUGGGAGGAAGGAGAGGAUCGGAAAAAUACCUAUUGGGUACUAUGUUUAUUACCUGGAUGAUAAAAUUAUCUGUCACCAAACCCCUGUGACAUGCAGUUUACCUAUAUAACAAACCUGCACAUGUACCCCUGAGCCUAAAAUAAAAGUUUAAAAAAAAAAAAGAAAAUACACCUGGACCCUAUUUUGAAAGACAUACUGUAGACUUGAGGGAGGAAGAGCAGAGGGAUGGAAAGGGCCCCGAAUUACCCACAAGCCAUGUGAAUGCUUAAGCAGUCAUGGACCACAAUUCUCACCACACACACACACACACACACACACACACACACACACACACACACACAGGUCUGAACCCUUACCCCUGUCUACUACUUAUUGGAGCUUGGUAGAAAAAAAGUUGUGAGUGACAGAAAAGUGAGAAAAAGAGAAGAAGAAGAAAAAUUGGAAAGUGUGGAAGAAAAAGUGGCAAAUGCAAGCAGCCCUUAAUGGAACUGUGCUGAAUUGAGAGACAGCAGAAGGUAACAGCUGGCUGGGACUUGGCCAUGAAAGGUGGAAUGUGAGGAGACAAAUGAAAUGGAAAUGCAGGAAAGAAUGGAGUGGCAAAGGAGGCUGGAGAUGGGGCAGAGGAUAGCAAGGGGAGAGAAGGAAGCACAGAAAGGGUGUGGGGGACAGGCCAGAGAGUAGAAGGCUAGAUGGAACUGACUGAUGCCACCAGUCAGAGAUGGAGACCAUUAACAAUGUGUAGGGAAACCCCUGCCUUCCCAAUAAUGAAAAUGCAGGUUUAAUCAGUACCAAGGAACACUGUGAAGUAAGGGCAUUGACUUGGGAAGUGAAAGCCGAAGAUAGAGCAAACCCCAUACGGCAUAUCCUAACUCGCCAUUUUAACAGCAGAAAGACUCGAAAAUACAAAGCAAAGGAUUAUCCAAAGGGCUUUUUAAAAUAAUGCUUAAAAUUUUAAUCUUGUAAAUAUAUUUCCCUUCCCAGUAUGAAAAUAAUUCCGAGUAUAAUCUUUAUUUACUUUCCCCUUUUUAUUUUAGAAGAGUAAACAUAGCUUUAAGAAUUAAAAAAAUCAGUUAAUAAUCUGACUUUUAAGUCAGCUGUAAAAAUGUAAGUUUCUAGCUCUGCCACUUUUUAGUAGUGUGACUUUGGGCAAAUUGCUCAAAAACUCCAAAUUCUUGUUUCUUUACCUACAAAAAAGGGACAAUAAUACAUACCUCCUAUGAUAGUAGAAAAUUACGUGAAAAUAUACUCCAAGUAUCUCAGAGGGCUUGAUUUCCAGAAAGCGCCCAAGCUCAAUCAAUAGUGACGUUUACUAUCCACGCAGCCAGUUCUACUACUGGGAGUUGGUUGGUGCUGAUAAAGCUUUUUGUCAGACUUCUCACAAUUUCCAUUGUGAGAAGAUGUAGCUUCCAAUUAACUCUGUCACUGAUUGUUGGGUAACUUUGGGCCAAAUGCUGUUCCUUAAUGAAUGUGGGUGUGAAACUUAUUAAGAUUAAUGACUGUCACAGCUGUUAGCCAGAUGUUUACAUAAUUCCCUCUGUUUUACAGCAAUCAUAUCAGAGGAAAGGGGUUGAAUGAUAGAAUUAGAAAAAUAAGUACAAUAUUGUGGGAAUGAAUAAAUGUUGUUUUGGAGGGUAGGAGAUUAAAAUCCUAAAUGUAUUUUGAUUAGGCUAAUAUUAAAAAUUAGCAUCUGUAAAUCAGUAAUCUAAUUGAAGGAAUUUUUUAACACAAGUGACUGGUGGAGGGGACACAGCAUGGGAGGGCAUGCUUACAGCAAGAGCUCCAUUGAUUAAAUAGUCCCCUGCAGAACACAGAGAGUUAAAUACGUCUUUAAUAGCCUCCAGCAUGAAAGGGCAAAUCAUUUGUUUUAAUUGAGGAAGGAUAAAAUAUUUUUGCUUUACACAUAUAUGUUCUAUUUUAGCAUCAUAGUUAUUUUUAUAGCUGUUAUAACUUCACAAAACCUAAUAGGAAAAUAAAUCUGAAUCCAGAAGAGUUCAAUACUUUCCAGAGGAGUCUAGUAAAUAAAAACUCUACACUGACUGACUGAUCUUAUUCAUGCACUGCUCCUAAACCCAAACUCUCAAGUGAAGGGAAAAGAGGUUAAUUCGUUGGAAUAAAUUCAUGGGAUUUUUUUUUAAAGACACAUCCUGAAUCAAAGUGAUUAAAACAACAAAUGGAUAAAGGGUAGAGCUGUGAGAGGACAAGGUUUGCAUUACUGAGCAUCUUGAUUAUGUGGGGAAGAUGGGAAACAGAUCUUGCCCAUUCUGGUCUCAAACUACUAAAUCCUGAGAAUGCCAAGAGGCGAGUCACUGAAGUCAGAAGUUGGAAACAUGGCUAAGCUGUCCAGAGUGUGGAACACAUGGUCUCUGAAGGUUUUUAUUAGUGUGUGGGUGAGAGUUCAGAAGCUCUACUAAUUACUUUUGUUUUCAGAAUUUAUAAAGUUAAGACAGAAAGCGGAAUAUUAACACUUCACUUCCUCGUGCAGUCAUUAAUUUACUCACUUAGCAUACAUUUAUUCAUAGAAGCUUAUUGGUACCAAGUAUACCCUCAAUGAGCAACCAACCCAAAAUUGCAAAAGGGAGAUCAAACAGGGAAGCUGUGGUAGGAAGUAUCAUGGCCUCUUCAAAGAUGUCUAUAUACUAAUCACAGAAUUUAUGUAUAUGUGAUGCUGUAUGUCAAGGGAAGAUUAAGGUGUGCAGAUGGAAUUAAGGUUGCUAAUCAGCUGACCUUAAAAUAGGAGUACUAUCUUGGAAUAUCUGGGUGGGCUCAAUGUAAUCACAAAUGUUCUUAACAGAUAGAAGAAGAAGGCAGAGGAGUCAGUGUUGGAGUGAUGCCAUGUGAGAAAGACUCAACUGGCCAUUGCUGGCUUUGAAAAUGGAAGGAGGCAUAAGCCAAGGAAUGAAUGCAGGUGCCUCUAGAACCUGGAAAAAGCAAGGAAACAAAUUCUCCUCUAGAACCUCCAGAAGGAAUGCAUUCCUGCCAACACCUUGAUUUUUAGCUCGGUGAGACCCAUGCUGGACUUCUGACCUGCAGGAUUGCAAGAUAAGAUAUUUGACUUAUUUUAAGAUGCUAAGUUUGCAGUAAUUUGAUAUGGUAGCCAUCGGAAACUAAUACCGAUGCCAAAGCAGUAAAGCAGGAAAGCACUCCAAAAUCACAGGAGUGAGAGGAGCAGAAAUGUCCUAGGAGAAGACAAUGUUUCCUUUUGAAAAGGAAAGUUUACUGGCAACUUCCAUUUGAAUUUCUUAAUUUCUUUCCUCAGUGGCAGUCACUACUUCCAAGGUGGCAGGUUCCAGAGCUGAUUCAUUAUAUAAUCUUUUCUCAGGAGUAUUCUAGCCACCUUUAAAGAAGCUAGGGCCAUUUUCCUGACACUGCAUCAAGGGGUAAGGUUAGUGGUAAAGAAACCAUGCGGUAGGAAAGGCCAACUUUCUCCCUACAUAAUCCAAUCGCAUUAUCUCCAGACUUGCUCACCCUCUGCUCUUUGCAUACUGCAGCUCCAGAGCUUUCAUACCUACAGACUUCCUGGAGUUAAGACUAAAACAAGAGUUGUGCUACAGACUACCGUUCCUAUUAUCAUUUUUUGUGUCCUGCUGAGUCCUCCCCUCUUGGCAACUUCAGGACCACCCACUGGGAAGAUAAUAUACAACCCAUCAGGAAACUCCCAGUGCCCAUCGUGGAGGCCAAGUGCUGCCAACUCUGAUUGCUUCUGGAAUGCCAUUUCUUCCCUGCCCUUUCAAUAUUCUUGUUAUGCGACUCCUAUGAUCACUGCCAAUCUGUAGAAAAUUACAGGAUGAAUUUUUGUGAAGGACUGAAUUUGCAUACUGGUCUUUUGUUGUUUAUUGUUGGGGGGAUUUUGCUUUUUGCACACAAUUUCUGCACAUUUUAUUGGAAGUUAUUGGGUUAGAUUCAUCCCAUUCAUUCACUAGCCUGGCAUUGCUAUGCAUGUGCUGUAGGGGCUUAGCAUUAAACGAUUUUCUUUGUUCAGAUUUGGAUUGCUGUCUCUGCUUGCAAAUUAUUUUUCACAAUGACUCCUUCUUUUCCUUCUCUCUCUCUCUCUUUCUCUCUCUCUCUCUCUCACACACACACACAGACACACACACACACACACACACACACACACACACACACACACAGAUGAGGUUAGAUAUUUUUCCAUUGCCAAGUUCAGGACCCAUGAAUAC